CACUCUUCACACCCUAGAGAAAGAAACUAGAUAGAGAAAGUGCAAGAUCAAGCCAUACAGUUCAUGGGCUACUCAGUUUGCAUUGAGAAUUCAUCAUUUCAAAACGGUUCCAUCUCUUCGAAAUCAAAAGCAACUUGGCUCAUAAUUGAGUUUUAAGGUUUUGAACUUAUAUCUUGUUCUUUUUGGUUUUAAGUUAGGAACUUGAGGCCAAAGAAGGUCAGAUCUAGCAUAUUUGCCACUGAUGGCCGAGCUAGGGGUUCUUCAGAUAUAUUUUGCCAACCCCUAGCAAGAAGUAUGUUUCAACGAGUUGAUUUAUUCUCACCGAAUAAUAUGUUCUUGGUGAAAUGUAAGAACCAAUGUUUAUUCCAGCUAAUGGUUUAGGGUAAAUUACACUUUUCGUCCUUUAUGUUUA